UGGUCUAUGAUGACAAACCUACGUCCUGAAUAGAGGUGAUGACAUAGAAAUCAUGGUCAUGUUCCAGCUGCUGAGGCCC
rfam:Mesocricetus auratus contig197598, whole genome shotgun sequence.